AGAGUUUGAUUUCUGGCUCAGGACGAACGCUGGCGGCGUGCCUAAUACAUGCAAGUCGAACGCUUUUUCUUUCACCGGAGCUUGCUCCACCGAAAGAAAAAGAGUGGCGAACGGGUGAGUAACACGUGGGUAACCUGCCCAUCAGAAGGGGAUAACACUUGGAAACAGGUGCUAAUACCGUAUAACACUAUUUUCCGCAUGGAAGAAAGUUGAAAGGCGCUUUUGCGUCACUGAUGGAUGGACCCGCGGUGCAUUAGCUAGUUGGUGAGGUAACGGCUCACCAAGGCAACGAUGCAUAGCCGACCUGAGAGGGUGAUCGGCCACACUGGGACUGAGACACGGCCCAGACUCCUACGGGAGGCAGCAGUAGGGAAUCUUCGGCAAUGGACGAAAGUCUGACCGAGCAACGCCGCGUGAGUGAAGAAGGUUUUCGGAUCGUAAAACUCUGUUGUUAGAGAAGAACAAGGAUGAGAGUAAAAUGUUCAUCCCUUGACGGUAUCUAACCAGAAAGCCACGGCUAACUACGUGCCAGCAGCCGCGGUAAUACGUAGGUGGCAAGCGUUGUCCGGAUUUAUUGGGCGUAAAGCGAGCGCAGGCGGUUUCUUAAGUCUGAUGUGAAAGCCCCCGGCUCAACCGGGGAGGGUCAUUGGAAACUGGGAGACUUGAGUGCAGAAGAGGAGAGUGGAAUUCCAUGUGUAGCGGUGAAAUGCGUAGAUAUAUGGAGGAACACCAGUGGCGAACGCGGCUCUCUGGUCUGUAACUGACGCUGAUGCUCGAAAGCGUGGGGAGCGAACAGGAUUAGAUACCCUGCUAGUCCACGCCGUAAACGAUGAGUGCUAAGUGUUGGAGGGUUUCCGCCCUUCAGUGCUGCAGCAAACGCAUUAAGCACUCCGCCUGGGGGAGUACGACCGCACGAUGAAACUCAAAGGAAUUGACGGGGGCCCGCACAAGCGGUGGAGCAUGUGCUUUAACUCGAAGCACGCGAAGAACCGUACCAGGUCAUGACAUCGUUUGAUCCACUCUAGAGAUAGAGCUCCCUUCGGGGUCAAGCUGACAGUGUGCAUGAUGUCGUCAGGCUCGUGUCGUGAAAUGUGGCUAGUCCCGCACCGAAGGCGCAACCCUUUAUUGUUUAGUUGCAGA
rnacentral:rRNA from 1 species